AGCUCUAUGAUCGAAUGCCAUUUAGGCAAUAUACGCUAUUCCGAUUAUUAACCUGACGGAAAAUAUAUUUGAAUGAGAGCUCUUUCAACAACAUUAACUGUAUAAUCCUUGUCACAUUGUAUUAUUAUUCUAUUACUUAAAUUAUUGUUUUGUUUUCUGCAAUGAUGAAAUAUGAAUAAUUCACAUGUCAGACUUCAGAGGUUUUGAUAUCAAAAUCUAUGAGAAUGAAAUUCAUAUUUUCUGAGUAGUUU
rnacentral:lncRNA from 1 species